ensembl:snRNA U1 U1 spliceosomal RNA
CUACGUAGUUGGCUGAGAAGAUGCCAUGAUCACAAAGGUGGUUUUCCCAGGGUGAGGCUCACCCAUUACACUCUGGGCGUGCUGACCCGUGUUAUUUCCCUAAAUGUGGGAAACUGAACUGCAUAAUUUGUGCUAGUGAUGGGCUGCCUUUGUGCCCUCCCCUG